AUGGGUGCUAAUGCUGGCAGCUGAAUGAUUGAUUCUCUUGUGACUGUUUUAAUUUGUUAAAGCUGAAACACAGUGUACGACACGGGACUUGACGACCAGAGCUGCUUUUGGCAAGGUGACUGAUGAACAGAUAUAGAAGGUGCCCUGGCAGGCUCUCCACAGAAGCGGUUGAGGAUUUGAGAAGAGGUUGCAGAUGAUCAAGGAGCGACACGUGCAGGGAUGGCUUGAAAAGGGUGAUUAGCUUCAGGUUCCAGGUGGGACCUAGUGGUAACUGAGUUGCAGGUAUUCCAUGACAGAGCUCAUUCUGCCUGGGCUGCUUUUUGGGGUAAGCGCUUUGUUUUUCCUUCAGUCAGUUGCAGGGUUCUUUAGGUGGGUCAGAGUCUAUGGACUGAUGCGUUUUCCAGUAGAAACCGGUACGCAUAUCUUUUUGAGUUGGUAACUGGUAGGAUCUGUCACUGUAAAGCAAUCUAGUAGUAGGUGCCUGUAUUGCACGCAGCUCUUCCUCAGGUGAGUAGUUAUUAUGGCAGUUUUACGGAUGGUAUGGUGAUGUUACUUUGUGUGUUUGCUUUGUGGUUCUGGUUCCCUUCUGAUUUUUGCAGAAUUACGGGGCUUUUUGUGAUUCUUUGCCUGUAUGUCAAAUCUCAUCAAAGUUACAACCUUGCUGUUAAAGUGAUGGAGCAGGGUUUAGUUGAAACGUAUCAUGGAAGCUCCCUGUGUGAGCAUGUGUCUGAAAAUGGCAGCAGUGGGCACGUAAGGGGUAGUCUGUUUCAAGUUUAGGGACAGUUUGUUAUAUUUCUGGAGCUUUUGCCUGUGUGUUUUCUGUCUGUCGAGUCUUUAGACCAUAAAGCCUUCUAGGCUUUAUGUCCUUGAAUCGACGUAUUAGAAGUACGUUUAUGAGGGGUUGCCAGGUACGUUGUUUUUGGGAAACCGUGGGGUAUGGUUCCUUGAGUGCAUAAGUGCAGUAGUGCCAAGAGAGUGAGCAGGGCCACCUUCUUCAUCUCUGCAGAAUGAGUCUGUUCGGGCACACUUCUCAGGUAAAUGUAGUGAGCAGAUGAGGUAAAGGAGCCGGGAACAGAGAGGUAUUGCACAGUAGCAUGUUGCAUCAGUAGUAGUCAGCGUUGCAGAGGAGGUGUGUGUCAGGGCUGGCGUGCUAGUGAAUGCUGGUUCUCUGUUUUUGCAAGUGAUGAUGAACCUGUUUGACGUAAUUCCA